GAUGAAUCUACCAGGGUUUAUUAUCUAUAUUCAUUUUUGAGGAUUUGCCAAUCCGCAGAGUGUCUAGUGUCUGCUAAAUGAGAAAUAACCACUGCGAGCCAAGUUAAGAGUGCAGACGUAGACAGAGCCCGUCCACAGCACGAUGAGGACCUCCCAGUGCCUAACCCACGCUCGUGACAGCGUGACGAGCGGUUCGCCAAGCGUCCACAGUAGAGCGCCGAGUCCACCGAGCACCGCGACUCUGACCCUCGCAGCUCUCCUUAUCUUAGCCAUCACGUCCUGCAAAAGUGCACCACCGCAAGUUCAACAAGCAACAAUAUACCAGAAUCUGAUUUUCAGCCAGUUAGAUGACGUGUGCACAUCCUACCUCUUUGCAAACCUGCCGUUACAGGAAACUGAUACCUUAGUGGAACUCUGUGUCAUGAUGCUUGUUCAAAAUCAAAGGUAUUAUUUUCUUACAUUUGUUUCUUACAUUAUUUUGUUAAAUUAAAUUCGAAAUUAAUAUAAAAAGUAGAUUUUGCUUAAGUAUUAAAAUACGUUUUUUCUUUGUGUUUAUUAAAGCAAGGGUAGAAAAAAAU
ensembl:lncRNA